AAGGGGGGUUUGAUCAUGGGGCUCAGGACGAACGCUGGCGGUGCGCCCAAUGCAUGCAAGUCGAACGAGAACAUUCCGACUUGUCGGGAUGGGACAGUGGCAGACGGCUGAGUAACACGUAAGUGACCUACCUCGAGGUGGGGGAUAAUCAGGAGAAAUCCUGUCUAAUACCCCAUAAGUCCCUUUGGUCACGGCCAUUGGGAGAAAGGCUUCGGCCGCCUUGGGACGGGCUUGCGGCCUAUCAGGUAGUUGGCGGGGUAACGGCCCACCAAGCUAAAGACGGGUACCCGGUGUGAGAGCACGAACGGGCAGAGGGGGACUGAGACACGGCCCCCACUCCUACGGGAGGCAGCAGCAGGGAAUCUUGCGCAAUGGGCGAAAGCCUGACGCAGCGACACCGCGUGGAGGAUGAAGGCUUGAGAGUCGUAAACUCCUUUUAUCAGGGAAGAGGACGGACGGUACCUGAGGAAUAAGCAUCGGCUAACUACGUGCCAGCAGCCGCGGUAAUACGUAGGAUGCGAGCGUUGUCCGGAUUUACUGGGCGUAAAGGGCGAGUAGGCGGCCGUUCAAGUCUCAUGUGAAAUCUCCCGGCCCAACUGGGAGCGGUCAUGGGAAACUGAGCGGCUUGAGGUCGGCAGCGGAAAGCGGAAUUCCCGGAGUAGCGGUGAAAUGCUCUGAUACCGGGGAGGAACACCAGAGGCGAAGGCGGCUUUCUGGGCCGUACUGACGCUGAGGCGCGAAGCAUGGGGAGCAACCGGAUUAAUACCCGGGUAGUCCUGCCCU
rnacentral:rRNA from 1 species